rfam:Brevibacillus sp. CF112 PMI08_contig_54.54, whole genome shotgun sequence.
GAAUGACAAAGGCAAAGUCAUCGAAAGGUGGCGACGCAAAACCACGGGUCUAAAGUCUUUGACCAUGACAGCCGGGUUGCCAUA